rnacentral:lncRNA from 10 species
CUUUGUCACCCAGGCUGGAGUGCCGUGGCAUGAUCUCUGUUCACUGCUACCUCUGCCUUCCAGGUUCAAGCAAUUCUCGUGCCUCAGCUUCAGCUGGGAUUACAGUUUGCCAUUCCCAGUGCUCUUUCUGAAGUGUGCCCUUUGGAGAAAACAGAAAGAAGCUCUUGUUUCAGCAUGUGUUUUCUCACUUGCCUUCCUACAAGUUGAAAGAUGUUUCCUCAUCCUGCCUGGACCAUGCUCUGCCCCACACAGCUGGGAUGGGGCGUGGGCCCACCUGGGGAUAUAGCCGUCACUUCACUUGAUCGUGAACUGUGCUUCUCCAGCAAGGAAUUGUUUCUUGAGACCCAUUGGAUAUCACAUGACAUUUAGUCAUCAUGUCUCUUUGGACUCCUCUUUGCUGUGACAGUUUCUCAGGAUACCCUUGUUUUUGAUGACCUUGACAAUUUUCAGGAGUGCUGGUCAGAUAUUUUGUAGGAUGCCCACUAUUGGAAUGUGCCUGAUGUUUUUCUUAUGGUGUUUGAUUGGAAGACCAAAUACAGCUCUAAACGUCAACUGAAGAAAGGUGUUGGUGCAACAACGGUGGAUGCUGUGGGAGCCUGAGCUACCUGCCCAUACAGCUUGAUUAUGCCUAUUGAUCCCAUCUGCAGCACUUUCAUCUUAUAAAGGAUCAUUGCUGUACUCACACAGCCUUAUGACUUGUGUGCAUCUCCCAAGACCCAGCUCUUUAGUCAGUGGGCUCUGGAUAUGAAAACUGGCUCAGGUCUGGAAAUUGGAUAUGAGAUUGUAACUUUUUACUAGGGCAAGCAUCUAUUAUUUCUCCUCACACAGACCAACAUCCUUGUUGAUUGCCCAUCUAGAGACACUGUAAACUGUUAAGCAUCUCCAUAAUUCUCUGAAAGUCAGACCUCCUUGGCUUACAGUCCACCUUGCCAGUUGUUAUGGUAAUUGUAAACCUCUUUUUCUGGCAGUUAAAUGUUGCCACCUGCUCUUUAUUGUGUUAGAAUUUUGUCAUCCCCACUUGUAUCAGCGUGCUAAGUUCUGUAACAUCUUCUACUGUCAGCCUGGCCUGUAGAGGACAACUGCCACUGAAAGUUUUAGUGAUAUUAGUGUCCCCUCACCAGCAUACUUUCACGGCCUUGGUAAAUGGUGUGCCCUCUGGGUCUUGUGGAACAUAACUGUCUUGUGGGUCUUCUGGCCACAUGGUAUCCACUCUAGCAUAUCCAAAACCUGAAGCCUUUUAAUUUCUUCCUCUACUAUCUCCUAUACGAUUCUGGCAUUUCAACUUUGUUUAGUGUAAGCUAUGAUUUUUUUCUGUGCUUCUAGAACCCAUCCUGAUCAUGAUUUUGCAUCAUUUCUUGAGCUCCUUGCCAAAAUGUGAAAUUCUGUAACUUGGUAGAAUGUUUCCUUCUCUGAUCUUAUGUUCUAGUCUCCUUGAUUAAGCACCCUCAGGACCCAAUCUCACACAUAUACGCAUGGCUCCUGCCAGAACAUGCUGGCUAGAUCUUUAUCUCCUCUGGGGUAUACUCCCUUUACUCUCUUGUUACGCCCAGCAUCGCCCUCACUGAAAUAUGCUGGAAAUGUACCCUAGUUAUAGGUGUAGUGGACAGGAGGGGAGAAGGGAGCAGAUCCUGUGAGGAGCACCUGUUCUUUUCUGAGAGUUUUCAUUUUUUUUCCAGCAUGUCAUUGUGUUGGUUUUUAACAUGGAGGUAUGGAACACUUAUGAAGGUUCAGAGGAUUUAAGGAGUCUGGAAAAUCAAAAAUCAAAAUAUUUGGGAGCAUCCACUCAUUGUUCUUACCUUCCAUGUAGGAGUCUCUGGUUUUCCCCAUGAGUUCUAACCUUUGCUUAACAAUCUGCCUUUGGUGGAGGUUAAUCAUUUUGAAGUUCAGCCACUAUAAAUUCUAGUCUCUAUCCUUAGCUUUCUUCAAUCUCUUUUUCAGAAAAUAACAGUGUCUUAUUUAUAAAACCAAAGCUUGCCUCUGGAGUUUAUAUCUGGCUUUUAGUUGUAUGCUGCUUACCCUCAUUUAUUUGUUAUAAAUAAGAAAUAAGUUCCACUUAUCAAAACCAUCGAGUUCAAUUAUCUUUAUUAGAGCUACUAUUUAUCCUGUAUGUCACUGUUUAGAAAAAACACAAACCCUGUUUUUUCUCUGCUCUAACACCAACACAACAAUCAAUGCAGAAGACUUCUGUGACCAAAUGGGUGGGGGUUUUUCCCCACUGACUGGGGAUACCAGUUGGGUAUCCUCCAAUUCAAUUCUGACACUGUCUACCUGGAGAUAGCAUCAGAUUCCACAGGUUGAGACCUCAGUCCCCUAUUGCCCUGCCACUUCAGAUACAAGUUGCAAGUCUGAACCUCUGGAACUUCUGACCAACCAGCUUUAAGUUGGGCUUUCCACCACUCACUCUUUGGGUUCAAUUAAUUUGCUGGAGUGGCUCACAAAACUUAGGGGAACACUUGUGUUUACUGGUUUAUUAUAAAGGAUAUUGCAAAGAAUAGAUGAAGAGAUGCAUAGAGUGAGGUAUGGGGGAAGGGACCAGAGCUUCUAUGCUCUCCCUGCUUACAACACUCUCCAGGAACAUCCAUGUGUUCAGGUAUCCAGAAGCUCCCAAAUCCUGUCCUUUGUGCCUUCUAUGGAGACUUCAUUGCUUUUCCAUGAUUGAACCAUGUACAGCCAUUAGAAAUGUAACUGGACAAAAAGGAUAUGACCUAAUCCCAGCAAGGCCUUUUUGGCCUCUUUGUGCAGCUUUCUUUCCUCUAGAGUGUGAGGGUCUUAUGAUCCACAAUUAGAUUAGGGUCCUGAGAUUCUGUUUCCUGAGGCCUGCUUCUUAGGCCUAAAGCACUCCAAUAUUAUAACAAAACACUGUAACAAGGACUAUGGGAGAUAUGAGCCAGGAACCAUAGACAAAAAUGUGUGUGUGUGUGUGUGUGUGUGUGUCUGUCUGUCUGUCACAAACACAUAAAAUAUAAUAAUACCAGCUACUAUUCCCUUCCACUGAUACAAUUCACUAGAAAUGCACUACCAACUUACCAACAGUGAUAUGGUUCUUAUUUUUGGCUGGGCUAUAACAAUCCAGCUCCAAACCCCCAUCUUAUUAUCUGAUUUGUGGUACCACUCCUGUUAUCAACUGACAUACGGUGGAUUGUAUAAAAUGAAGUUGGAGUGUAAGAUGUUAAUGAAGUGAUCAGCACCUGGCAAAGGAGAGGGGAGGGAGCAGGACUGAACACAGGAAGAAGUUAAACUAUAAUGCAGGCCUGACAAACCCUCAGCCAACCUAGUGGUCACCUCUGGAGUGAGAAUGACUCAGAGGUAUUGGGUCACACUGGAUGGACCUGUACUGAGCUCACUCAUCAGAUGGGGGCUGCCCUAGAAAGGCAAGACCUUGGGAAAGUGGCUCUCUGCAGCUGACAUGAGGCCAACCCUAAAGAAGCUGCCAGUUGUAGGUUGUCUGCAAACCAUAUUCCCCUCAGCUAGGUAGCAAGUCCCUCUCUGAUGUGAGAUCUUGGUUUCAUAGCUCCAUGUCUUGCACAUUUCUUGAGUCAUUUUCUAGAACAGUGGUAAAGAUGAGUGGUAUAGUAUGGAUGUUUGUCCCCCAAACCACGUGUUAAAAUUUCAUUUCCAGUGUUGGAGGCGGGCCUAAUGAGAGGUGUUUGGGUCACAAGUGAGAUCCCUUAUGAACAGAUCAAUGCCUUCCCUGGGAAGGGAGGUAACUGAGUUCUCCCUGUAUGAGCUCCCAGGAAAGCUGAUUGCUAAAAGGGGCCUGAUGCCUCACUCCCCACUCUCUCACUUUCUUUGUCUCACCAUGUGACCUCUACACUCCAGUGCCCCUUCGCACCUUCCACCAUGAGCAGAAACAGCCUGAAGCCCUCACCAGAAGCAGACGCUGCACCAUGCUUCUUGUACCUGCACAACCAUGAGCCAAAUAAACCACCUUCUUUUCUUUAAAAAUUAUUCGACUUCAGGUAUUCCUUUAUAGUAACACAAAAAUGGACUAAGAAAAUGAACCAUGCUUACUACAAUUCCUCAGCAUCCAUGCUAAUCCACAACCCCUUCCCUCCCCCAGCUCCUUCAUUCCAAUGUGAAGUCUCUAGAAACUAGGUAUUUCACUGCAUCUGGCAAAGCAAUGCACAGUUUUAAGGUACAGGGCACUAUAGUACAAGCUACAAGAGAGAAAACCAGUUUCUGCCUGGUUUAUACUGGUCAAGAUAGUAUAAGAAAAGGUUGAAUCAAAACUGCCCUAACCCUAUUAAUAAUAUACUAGUAAUAUAAACAACAUAUUAAUAACAUGAAACUUGUCUAUUAAUUUACUUAAGGACCCAUUUCAAUAUCACUGGGAGUGGUUUCUUACUGUUAUGAACUUCUCUAAUAUUCACUCUUUUACCUUAUAGCACUCUUGGCUACCUCAAACUUUAAUUAUUUGCACAUAUUUUCUCUAUACUACUAAUAUACACUAUCUUCAUAUUAGUCUCUUUCUUGAGCCCAUCACCCAGUUUAUUAGGCCCUGGAGAAAUAUUUUUCAAUGUCUCCAUUGCAUAAUAUAGCAGUCUUCAACAUUCUCCUGAAGGAUAUGAAAAAUGAUGUUCACAGGAAAAACAUGCACUCAUAGAUAUGCUCAUAUUUUAGAAAAAAUAUUUUUUCAGACAAGUAAAGAACUGAGAUAAGCUAUUGGGGAACAUCAGUAACAAUGGCUGUAUGUGGGCUGCAACAUAAAGAAGACAAGUGCCAUUUAUAAGCAAUUCCCAAUAUUUUGAGUGGCACUUUCUGAGGUCCAGAAUCACAUAACCAAUUUUCUACUGAUAUCUCCACCCAUCAGUAACAAAAGCUUACCUUCAACCCCAAAGCUGCUUCCCGUGUCUUCUACUUCAGCAAAUGGCACUGUCGUGCAUACAACUUCUCAACCAAACACUUGGGAUUCAUCUUGGACCACUCCCCAUCUCAUACACCAUUCAUUUCUACUUAACCCCCAAGUCCUAAUGAUUUUUUCACUUAAUAUCUCUUGAACAUAUCCACUUCUUUUUAUCCCUUAAUCUCUUCCAUUUCUCA